rnacentral:tRNA from 1 species
GGAGAGGUGUCUGAGUGGUCGUAAGGUGCUCGCCUGGAAAGCGGGUGUACGGAAACGUACCGCGGGUUCGAACCCCGCCCUCUCCG